rnacentral:rRNA from 1 species
AAUCAACGCUGGCGGCGUGCCUCAGACAUGCAAGUCGAACGCGAAAUUUCCCUUCGGGGAGAAAGUAGAGUGGCGCACGGGUGAGUAACACGUAGGUAAUUUGCCUUUGGGUGGGGAAUAACUCAGGGAAACUUGAGCUAAUACCGCAUAAUGCAGCGGCUCGACAUCGAGACAGUUGUUAAAGCGGGGGAUUGGAGCAAUCCGACCUCGCGCCUAAAGAGAAGCCUGCGGCAGAUUAGCUAGUUGGUAAGGUAAUGGCUUACCAAGGCGACGAUCUGUAACCGGCCUGAGAGGGCGGUCGGUCACACUGACACUGACAUACGGGUCAGACUCCUACGGGAGGCAGCAGUCGGGAAUUUUGGGCAAUGGGCGCAAGCCUGACCCAGCAACGCCGCGUGAGGGAUGACGGCCUGG